AUGAGCCCUGACGGCGUACCUUUUGUAUAAUGGGUCAUCGACUUGGUCUGUCCAGCAAGCUUAAGCCGUUAGGUGUAGGCGCAGCGAAAGCGAGUCUUAAUAGGGCGUCGAGUUCGUGGGAUCAGACCCGAAACCGAGUGAUCUAGGCAUGGCCAGGUUGAAGGUGCGGUAACACGCACUGGAGGACCGAACCCACAUCUGUUGAAAAAGAUCGGGAUGAGCUGUGCCUAGGGGUGAAAGGCCAAUCAAACUCGGAGAUAGCUGGUUCUCUGCGAAAUCUAUUUAGGUAGAGCGUCGUACGAAUACCCCCGGGGGUAGAGCACUGGAUGGGUAAUGGGGCCCCACAGGCUUACUGAUCCUAACCAAACUCCGAAUACCGGGGAGUACUAUACGGCAGACACACUGCGGAUGCUAACGUCCGUAGUGGAGAGGGAAACAACCCUGACCUACAGCUAAGGCCCCCAAUUCAUGGCUAAGUGGGAAAGCAGGUGGGACGACCAAAACAACCAGGAGGUUGGCUUAGAAGCAGCCAUCCUUUAAAGAUAGCGUAACAGCUCACUGGUCUAAUCAAGUUGUCCUGCGGCGAAGAUGUAACGGGGCUCAAGCCAUGAGCCGAAGCUUAGGAUGCGUUUAUCGCAUGGUAGCAGAGCGUAGUGUGACAUAAGACUCUGUCUUAUACUGAUCUUUUGUACAGCCAUCGACAGUUAUCUGGGUGCUCGCACUCAAGUAGCCGGAGGCGGUAGUGCGUAAAAGAGGUCAGAUAAGACGCAGUCUUUUCUGUGAAGCCGGCCUGUGAGGGAUCCGGUGGAGAGAUCACUAGUGAGAAUGAUGACAUGAGUAGCGACAAAGAGUGUGAGAGACACUCUCGCCGAAAGUCCAAGGGUUCCUGCUUAAAGCUAAUCUGAGCAGGGUAAGCCGACCCCUAAGGCGAGGCCGAAAGGCGUAGUCGAUGGGAACCAGGUUAAUAUUCCUGGGCCAGGAGGAUGUGACGGAUUGUGAAGGUUGUUUGCCCUUAUCGGAUUGGGCGGGCCGCUGAUCAGUUCCUGGAAAUAGCCCUCCGUGAGAUCGUACCCUAAACCGACACAGGUGGACUGGUAGAGAAUACCAAGGCGCUUGAGAGAACGAUGUUGAAGGAACUCGGCAAAAUACCUCCGUAAGUUCGCGAGAAGGAGGCCCAGUUUCAACGCAAGUUUUGGCUGGGGGCACAAACCAGGGGGUGGCGACUGUUUAUUAAAAACACAGGGCUCUGCGAAGUCGCAAGACGACGUAUAGGGUCUGACGCCUGCCCGGUGCCGGAAGGUUAAGAGGAGAGGUGCAAGCUUUGAAUCGAAGCCCCGGUAAACGGCGGCCGUAACUAUAACGGUCCUAAGGUAGCGAAAUUCCUUGUCGGGUAAGUUCCGACCUGCACGAAUGGCGUAACGACUUCCCCGCUGUCUCCAGCAUCGACUCAGCGAAAUUGAAUUCUCCGUGAAGAUGCGGAGUACCCGUGGUUAGACGGAAAGACCCCGUGCACCUUUACUACAACUUUGCAGUGGUAUCAGAGAUGAAAUGUGUAGGAUAGGUGGGAGGCUUCGAAGCGAGGGCGCCAGUUCUCGUGGAGCCAGCCUUGAAAUACCACCCUUUUUAUCUUUGAUAUCUAACCGCGGCCCGUGAAUCCGGGUCCGGGACCCUGCAUGGUGGGUAGUUUGACUGGGGCGGUCGCCUCCCAAA
rnacentral:rRNA from 1 species